GAUGAACGCUGGCGGCGUGCCUAAUACAUGCAAGUCGAGCGAACGGACGAGAAGCUUGCUUCUCUGAUGUUAGCGGCGGACGGGUGAGUAACACGUGGAUAACCUACCUAUAAGACUGGGAUAACUUCGGGAAACCGUAGCUAAUACCGGAUAAUAUUUUGAACCGCAUGGUUCAAAAGUGAAAGACGGUCUUGCUGUCACUUAUAGAUGGAUCCGCGCUGCAUUAGCUAGUUGGUAAGGUAACGGCUUACCAAGGCAACGAUGCAUAGCCGACCUGAGAGGAUGAUCAGCCACACUGGAACUGAGACACGGUCCAGACUCCUACGGGAGGCAGCAGUGGGGAAUCUUCGGCAAUGGGCGAAAGCCUGACGGAGCAAUACCGCGUGAGUGAAGAAGGUCUUCGGGUCGUAAAGCUCUUUUAUUGGGAAAGAACAGAUGUAGGUGAAACUGUGGAUGUCUUGACGGUACCUAAUGAAAAAGCCACGGCUAACUUCGUG
rnacentral:rRNA from 1 species